UACGAAGGGGGCUAGCGUUGUUCGGAUUUACUGGGCGUAAAGCGCACGUAGGCGGAUUGUUAAGUCAGGGGUGAAAUCCUGGAGCUCAACUCCAGAACUGCCUUUGAUACUGGCAAUCUCGAGUCCGGAAGAGGUGAGUGGAACUCCUAGUGUAGAGGUGAAAUUCGUAGAUAUUGGGAAGAACACCAGUGGCGAAGGCGGCUCACUGGACCGGCAUUGACGCUGAGGUGCGAAAGCGUGGGGAGCAAACAGG
rnacentral:rRNA from 1 species